UUGCUCCGCUGACGAGUGGCGAACGGGUGAGUAAUAUAUCGGAACGUACCCAAGAGUGGGGGAUAACGUAGCGAAAGUUACGCUAAUACCGCAUACGAUCUAUGGAUGAAAGCAGGGGACCGCAAGGCCUUGUGCUCCUGGAGCGGCCGAUAUCUGAUUAGCUAGUUGGUAGGGUAAAGGCCUACCAAGGCAUCGAUCAGUAGCUGGUCUGAGAGGACGACCAGCCACACUGGAACUGAGACACGGUCCAGACUCCUACGGGAGGCAGCAGUGGGGAAUUUUGGACAAUGGGCGCAAGCCUGAUCCAGCAAUGCCGCGUGAGUGAAGAAGGCCUUCGGGUUGUAAAGCUCUUUUGUCAGGGAAGAAACGGGUGGGGCUAAUAUCCCCAUCUAAUGACGGUACCUGAAGAAUAAGCACCGGCUAACUACGUGCCAGCAGCCGCGGUAAUACGUAGGGUGCAAGCGUUAAUCGGAAUUACUGGGCGUAAAGCGUGCGCAGGCGGUUUUGUAAGUCUGUCGUGAAAUCCCCGGGCUCAACCUGGGAAUGGCGAUGGAGACUGCAAGGCUAGAAUCUGGCAGAGGGGGGUAGAAUUCCACGUGUAGCAGUGAAAUGCGUAGAGAUGUGGAGGAACACCGAUGGCGAAGGCAGCCCCCUGGGUCAAGAUUGACGCUCAUGCACGAAAGCGUGGGGAGCAAACAGGAUUAGAUACCCUGGUAGUCCACGCCCUAAACGAUGUCUACUAGUUGUCGGGUCUUAAUUGACUUGGUAACGCAGCUAACGCGUGAAGUAGACCGCCUGGGGAGUACGGUCGCAAGAUUAAAACUCAAAGGAAUUGACGGGGACCCGCACAAGCGGUGGAUGAUGUGGAUUAAUUCGAUGCAACGCGAAAAACCUUACCUACCCUUGACAUGGAAGGAAUCCUUGAGAGAUCAGGGAGUG
rnacentral:rRNA from 1 species